UAGGACCAUAUCAAGUCGAAAAUCCGUUUCCCGUACGAUCAACGAAGUUAAGCAACGCCUGGUCAGUACCUAGAUGGGUGACCAUUUGGGAAUACCAGGCGCU